rnacentral:rRNA from 1 species
AUUGAACGCUGGCGGCAGGCCUAACACAUGCAAGUCGAACGAGUGGCGGACGGGUGAGUAAUGUCUGGGAAACUGCCUGAUGGAGGGGGAUACUACUGGAAACGGUAGCUAAUACCGCAUACCAUCGGAUGUGCCCAGCGGGGCUUCGCUAGUAGGUGGGGUAACGGCUAACCUAGGCGACGAUCCAUAGCUGGUCUGAGAGGAUGACCAGCGACACGGGAACUGAGACACUGUCCAUACUCCUACGGGAGGCAGCAGUGGGGAAUAUUGCACAAUGGGCGCAAGCCUGAUGCAGCCAUGCCGCUUGUAGGAAGAAGGCCUUCGGGUUGUAAAGUACUUUCAGCGGGGAGGCGUGACCCGCAGAAGAAGCACCGGCUAACUCCGUGCCAGCAGCCGCGGUAAUAC